AAAAAUAUUUUUAUACUAUUAUAUAUUAAUUAUUUACUUACUGCAAGUAUUUACUACAAAGCUUUAGAAGUUCAACAUCAUGUAACAUGAUGAUAAUAUGUGAAGUUUUAAUAAAUCUGUUAAAAUUAAGUAUUAUCGAUGAAGGUUAUGUGAUCAAUUUCUAUUCGUUACAAAAUAAAAUAACAUGAAUUAAUAUAUAAUGAGCAUCUUUAUAUAUUUGUUUUGAUACUUCUACAUAGCAUUGCGCGCAGCGCUUAGACAAAGAAUAAGCGUGAAUAUACGUGUCAAUGAUGAGGACGAUAUGUUACAUAUACUAUAUAGUUAUAUUCACACAAACAUUUGGGAAAUGUAAUUUCAUUAUAUAGUGACAUUUUCUCAAUUCAAUAAUUUUUAUUAUUAAUAAUGUCAGGUUAAACUUUACUUUAGGGGUUCAAAAAUUAUUGACUUUUUUAUUUACAAUCUCAUAGUUUUUGACGUGUAGAAUCUGAAAAUGCAAAUUUUAAGGUGCGGAAUCCACUGGUUCAAAAGUUAGGACUAUGUAAAAUUGAGCACUUUUAGGAUAUUUUAUACUUUAUUUUGACGGUAUAUUGGCUUCUACCCAUACUACGUCCAAUGAAUGAACCGCACAGAUGAUAUCUAGUUGGUCCGCACAAAUGAGCAGUACGUAUAGUAUAAAUAGUAUUAAUAAUUAAAAAAAAAAAAAAAUUAAACAAAACAAUUUACUUUCCUAUAUUCGCGUCAAAUAUAAAAGUACUAAAUAUAUGUGUACAUAUUUGAUUUGAAAAUUUUAAGUAAGUUUGUUAACCUUUUUUGUUGAAAAUAAUUAUACGUAUUUAAUAUCUUUUUGUAUCAAAUGAAAUACUGUAUAUUAUGUACUUUAAAUAAAUGGUGGAGUAGUUUAGUCAUUGAGUAAGUUCAGUGGUUUAAUCUAUAUUCUUUAUCUUCAAUACUUUUACCGAAGAAUGGCGUUACAUACAAAAUCCUAACUUCUCGAUCGGUCUUCUAUACUAGCCAAUUUGUAAAGCACAAUUCCUGACAUUAAAAGUUUUAUUUCCUCCAACAGAGUUUCCAGAUCUGUAUAUAUGACCGUGGACUGUAGGUUUUCGGAUCGUUUUAACUAGCAAUGUCAUCAAAUCAAUGUUAUGACGGCGUUGUCGCAAAAUUUCGCAUAGGCGAUGGACAAAUUCAUCGUCAUAGAAGUGACUUCUCCUCCACAUCCAGUUCUUAGUUGGCCGGCAAUUCGAUUCUAUUUUUUGUGUACAUGUACCAUCAGUAGCUGUAGUUAAAUUCGCAAAAAAUUAAUUUGUAUUAAUGUAACGUAACAGAAAAUAAAUAUUACCCCAAAUUAAACUCAAA